UUUUCCUCGCGGGAUAUGCAAACACUCGCUGUAAAACUAGAAAGAAUUUGACAUUUUCUGCUUUAACAAAUAACUAUAGCUGGAAGAAAGAUGUUGUAAUAACCAACAAAUCAAUAUAUGAAAUUUGUAUAGGUAAUGGUAUAGUUUCUCAUUAAAAACAUAUACUAAGUGUGUUGGGGCAGUCUUUUAGGUGUGUGGAGGGGUUCUCGGGGUGUUAUUAUUAAGAACGGUAUACUGUAUCAAAACGUUUACCACCAAUGAUAGAAAAUUCUGAUGUAGAGGAUGAAAACGAAAAACGGCGAGAAGUAUUGGAGGACGGAGGAACAGCUGAGAGUGAGGACUGACGACCAAUGACAGGCAAACCCAAACAACCUUCCCGCACUGGCAAGUAUUUAGAACUGUUCACCCAUUGGAUCUCCCUGCCUCCUGGGAACAUGUGUGAGGAACGCUGCUGUGAGCGAGGACGUAGUGAGUGACUGCUGGCUUACCUGGUGGAGGCUGCAGGAGGCGGAGGGCGAGGCAAGCAGCUGAGGGUACCAGUGACUGAGGGCGAAGUAGAGGCCGCGGUUAUCUGAGAUGUCUCGUUCAAACAGUGGCGCAGUGUGUGUGUGUGUCACCAGGUACCACUGCCAGAAGAGAGGUAGAAGGUGCAGUCAAUGAGUUCACCAGGGAUCAGGAAUGUCACUGCUGCUGCCACAUUCAGAAAUAUUUUGAGGAAAGAGCUGAGAAGGGUGCCAGUGUUGGGACUACAGAGACAGAUGAGGCAAGAAAGGACAAAGAGGAAAAGAGAAUGAACUCAAAGGAAAGGCACAACUAGCUUAACUCCUGAAAUGAGAACUUAUCCCAUCAAUAUGAAGGUUGUGUACCAUGUGGAGGUGGAGGAGGCAGCAGAGGCUGAGCAGGAAGAGGAGGAAGUGGGUAUUGAGGCAGCAGGUGAUGGUAAAAAUGGAGGAGCCUUCUACUCUGCUGCAUGUAGAAACACCACUCACUAAGCUCCUCCUGCCACUGCUGUCUGGUAUGUCUAGUCCUCCAUGAUAAGGCAAAAACAUCCAUUAGAAAAAAGGAAAAUUGAGAUAACAAUGUUGAAGGAGUCAUGAGAAAAUAUAAAAAGAAAAAAGACAAGAUAAGGCUAAAUACAACUAUUAUAUGGUAAAAUUGGAGCUUUUAAACAAAAAAAAAUAACAUAAUGAUAAUGAUACAUAUAAUAUUUUGUUAGUUUAACCUUUCAAUCUAAUCAGUACUUUUGUGUACCUACUAAAUGCAGUUUCUAUGUGCUCUAGCACAUAGAAGAGGUUAAUUCAUAUCAAGAAUUAACCUCUUCCAACUCUAACCCGCACCUUCCAUACACACACACACACACACACACACACACACACACACACACACACACACACACACACACACACACACACACACACACACAAAAAAAAAAAAAAGCUAAAAUGUAAAUCAGAAGAGCAGUAGCCUCAGGUGUUAUGGCACAGGUGCCUCAGCAGGGCAAGAAGGAAAUGUGUAGGCAUCUGCAGUCAUACUAAGAGGAUAGAGAAUGGAGAGUUUUGUGUAGCUGGAGUUCUUGUUUUUUCUUCCAAGACAAAAGGUGAGUCUCUAGUUUUGCAAAUGAUGUGUCAGAAAAAGCAAUGAGGUUAGUCUCAACAAAUGAUGUCUUGAGAGGCCUAUGGUCCUGGUUUAGCAAAGAUGCCAACAAAAAAGAUACUCACAGCUGAAGCCACCAUGACUGACAAGAUGUGAACUUCUUUUUUUGUAGUGAGUAGGCAACUGAUGACAUCACGCUUCUCUCGCCUCACCGUACAUCAAGAAAAUGACUUACUAGAUAAUGCAAAUCUUUAAAAAAAGUGAUGAAGAGGAAGUAAAAGGAAAAAUCUUUAAGGCAAUAAAAACAAUUAAGUUUUGUUAAGAAAAUUAUUUUGGUUAAAUUUAGGUAAGAAUGGAAAUAAUUUAUAUAUAUAUAAAAAAAAAAAAAAAAAGCCAGAGAAAAAAUGGUACAUUGUGAAAGAGGACUCCACUCCCCUCCCCCUAACCCCAUGGAAAGAAAUGUGAGCGGAUAGUGGCGUUGUCCAUGUAGGCCACGCUCCGCCGUUCCACCUCCUGCCUCCACGCCGCUUACAACAUUCCGUGCAAAGCCACCUCCAGCCCUAGCCCUAAGAAGCACAAUUUCCUGCCUUUCAAGAUAAGCAUGAGCUUAUAAGAAAGUGUGAGGCAGGUAUAGCUCACAGUGUGGUUGCAGCACAAAUGGGUGUCCCUAGAUCAACAAUAUCAUCAAUUUAGAAGAAAAGGGACAAGUACCACAAGACCGCUGCAAGUGUUUAUAUUUCCAAAAAUGUACUGUACAGCACCCUAAUGUGUUUAAUAAAAAAAUGUUCAAUA
rnacentral:misc_RNA from 1 species